AACGAACGCUGGCGGCGCGCCUAAUACAUGCAAGUCGAGCGAGAAGACGUAGCAAUACGUUUGUAAAGCGGCGAACGGGUGAGGAAUACAUGGGUAACCUACCCUCGAGUGGGGAAGUAACUAGCCGAAAGGUUAGCUAAUACCGCGUACGCUCCUUGGACUUCGGUUCAGGGAGGAAAGCGAUACCGUGGGUAUCGCGCUCUUGGAUGGGCUCAUGUCCUAUCAGCUUGUUGGNGAGGUAACGGCUCACCAAGGCUUCGACGGGUAGCUGGUCUGAGAGGACGAUCAGCCACACUGGCACUGCGACACGGGCCAGACUCCUACGGGAGGCAGCAGUAAGGAAUAUUGCGCAAUGGGCGAAAGCCUGACGCAGCGACGCCGCGUGGGGGAG
rnacentral:rRNA from 1 species